rnacentral:misc_RNA from 1 species
UGUGGGAGCGAGCCUGCUCGCGAUAGCGCAGUGUCAGUCGAUAUCAAUGUGACUGGUUCACCGCCAUCGCGAGCAGGCUCGCUCCCACA